rnacentral:rRNA from 1 species
CAAUGCCGCGUGAGUGAUGAAGGCCUUAGGGUUGUAAAGCUCUUUUACCCGGGAAGAUAAUGACUGUACCGGGAGAAUAAGCCCCGGCUAACUCCGUGC